AGCCUGAACGCUGGCGGCGUGGCUAAGACAUGCAAGUCGCACGGAACCCGCAAGGGUUUAGUGGCGAACGGGUGAGUAAUGAAUCGCUAAUGUGCCCCGGACUCUGGGAUAGCUACCCGAAAGGGUAGGUAAUACCAGAUGAUAUAACUUUCUCGCAUGAGAGAGUUCUCAAAGGUCCGCCGGUCUGGGAGCAGGCGAUUUCGAUCAGCUAGUUGGUGAGGUAAUGGCUCACCAAGGCGACGACGCGUAGCCGGACUGAGAGGUUGGCCGGCCACAUUGGGACUGAGACACUGCCCAGACUCCUACGGGGGCUGCAGUAACGAAUCUUCCGCAAUGCACGAAAGUG
rnacentral:rRNA from 1 species